rnacentral:rRNA from 1 species
AGUGAACGCUGGCGGUAGGCCUAACACAUGCAAGUCGAACGGCAGCACAGUAAGAGCUUGCUCUUACGGGUGGCGAGUGGCGGACGGGUGAGGAAUACAUCGGAAUCUACUUUUUCGUGGGGGAUAACGUAGGGAAACUUACGCUAAUACCGCAUACGACCUACGGGUGAAAGCAGGGGAUCUUCGGACCUUGCGCGAUUGAAUGAGCCGAUGUCGGAUUAGCUAGUUGGCGGGGUAAAGGCCCACCAAGGCGACGAUCCGUAGCUGGUCUGAGAGGAUGAUGAGCCAAAAUGGAAGUGAGAAACGGUGCAUACUCCAAAGGGAGGGAACAGUGGGGAAGAUUAGACAAUGGGGGCAAGCAUGAUCCAGUCAUACCGCGUGGGUGAAGAAGGCCUUCAGGUUGUAAAGCCCUUUUGUUGGGAAAGAAAAGCAGCAGGUUAAUAACCCGCUGUUCUGACGGUACCCAAAGAAUAAGCACCGGAUAACGUCGUG